ensembl:lincRNA Gm43101 predicted gene 43101
UCGCUUCAUUGGGGUGGAGUUAGUGGAUAAACGGCAGAGGGGUGAGCUGGGAAAUGACUUCCCGUCCCUUCUGCCCUCCCAGAGUGCUCCUUGGUCUUCUGUGUGGUUCAAGUCAGCUGCCAUCCGUAAGAAAGAGAAACCAGACACGAGAAGUUCAGCGUAUUACAGGACGACCACAACACAGUGGUGGCGGCAAGGAAAAACAAAUCACCACAGUGAACAACAACAUCAUCCCUGCCCUCACCAGAUGCUGUGAAUCCCGAACUCACCGAUUCCCAUAAGCAGAGGACCUACUUUAACACGUCCCGAGGGUGGGUUGACAUACGAACCACACAACCAAACAACUGAAGGCAGCUGAAGAAAACGCCAAUGAAGAGAGUUCUGCAGAACGUGUUCACUUAGUAGAAACGGUAAGAGGUGUGCGUGCCCACAGACACACGCAGAAGGACGGGCAUCACCAAAAACAAUAAACCCUAAAGUCAGAUCCA